rnacentral:misc_RNA from 1 species
CGAAAAUAGGAAAGCGUUUCGUUCCAUACAAAAUCUGUUCGAGUGUUGUGCUAUGGCCACGCAGAUUUCAACUUUAAACGGCGAGAAUAGUGCACGAUCUGGACCAAAAAUGAGCGGAGUUGGCGACGAAGGGAAGUUGUUCGUCGGCGCGCUUAGCAGGGAAACAACAGUUGAAUCGCUCAAAACAUAUUUCUCGAUCUACGGCGAAGUUUCCGAUUGUAAUGUCAAAAUUGAUCAAAUAACAAAACGCCCAAGAGGAUUUGGAUUUGUACAAUUUAAAGAUCCCACUUGCGCUCAACGGGUUUUAGAUGAGGGACCACAUGUCAUUGAUGGGAAAAAGGUUGACCCUAAGAAAGCCUCACCACAGGGAAGACCACACAAUAGCACAAAAACAAAGAAGAUCUUUGUGGGUGGACUAAAACCAGAUACUCCUGAUGAAAUUGUCAGAAAUUAUUUCUCUCAAUAUGGCACGGUUGUGGAUGUUGAUCUUGUGAAAGAAAAAGAAACAAAUCGAAGAAGAGGUUUUUGCUUUGUGGAGUUUGACAAUGAAGAUGUAGUUGAUAUGGUAAUGCAGAAACAGUAUCAUGAUCUUGCUCAGGGAAUAAAGGUUGAAGUGAAACCAGCUUUAUCAAAAGAACAACAGGCUGCAAAGAAGGCUCAGGAAAUGGGAGGUUACCGAGGGGUUGGGCGUGGCAUGGUUGGUGCUUCAUUUGGGUAUGGUGUUCCCGCAACUGGGUAUAGUCAAUACCAAACACCAACAGUCCUCUAUCAAGCAACAGAUCCUGCUGGUGCUGCACCAGCAUACUCAAUUGGUUAUCCUCCUGGAUACUCGCAACCUGGUGCCGUUGCUGCCUCGCCCUACGGUAGUGUUGCCGGUUAUGAAGUACAACCUGCACAGAGCUUCGCAGCAGUAAGAUAUCCAGGACGUCCAGUCUAUCGAACCGGCCCUUCGUACGACCUUUUAUAUCCUCCGUAUAAAAAAUAAUAACAUAAAUAUUCAUAUCGUAAAUAUUUUCACGCCUAAUGGCGGCGUCGCAUACGAAAACGCUCAUAGGAAUUUGAAAAUUUGUACAUAAACUACAAUCACUCUAUAUCGUAAAAAUAGAGAAUUAUUUGCCUAAAAGGCAAUUAUAUUGUUAAAUUUUUAACAAAAAAUUGACACAUGUAUAUAGAAUAUUUAUAUUGCUACAUAAUUUCAUAGAAAUUUCACUAAUUGUAGCAUAUUUCUAAUUUUUGAGAAAUUUUGUGAAAUAUGAACUUAUAGUUUCGUUUUAAGAGACUUAAAUGUACAUAAUAUAUUUCUAAGAAUUUUCGAUAGCAGUAAUGUUUACACUAUUAAUGGUUGUACGAACGGUCAAUAACGGCAGUACAAUAUGCUGGUCACGUGGUGUUUGGUUGCCUGGCAACAGGGGAGUGGCCACGUGUGUACUGAUGACAUCAUGACAUAAAGGUCAGGGGAGGUUCUGGGCCCUAGACCUUGUGGUCACAUGGUGAGAAGUAGCUGGCCGCGGUUAUGGUGCGGGACCUGGUGUCGGCACUCCUGGGGCUGCCAGCGCAAGAUACCAUCCUUACUCCCGUUGAAGGACUU